rnacentral:lncRNA from 1 species
GGCUUUUUCAAAAGUUUCAAGUUGCUUUAAUAAAGUUUUAAGAUAACAAUAUCAUAAUUAAUGGUUAGUGAAACACAAGUUAGCGAGAUAAAAAAUUUAACAAAGAGGAAUGUUUGAAACUGUAGGUUUUCUCCAAAUAUUACUACCUAUUAUGGUACAAUUUAUUGAUCUCAUUGAGAUUCUUUGUAUUCAUUUCUCCUGGCUACAUAACACCCUGCAAAGAGGGCACAGUGAUGUUGGCCUUUCAAAGAAGAAAUCGAAUUUGAGAAAGGUUGAAUAACUUCUUACUAAGAUUAGUUCUUCUACACUCUCUAUAUGGAGCAGGUUGGCAUAAUCAAAUCCUACACAAAUUUAAUUUUAAAGUGAUGCUCACACGAGGUACUAGGUCCAUCUAACAAGAUACGUACAAGACCUAUAUGAGGAAAGCUAAAAAAUUCUGAUGGGUGAAACCAAAGAAGAACUAAAUAAAUGGAGAGAUAGUCCAUGUCCAUGAAUAAGAAGAUCCAAUAUCGUCAAGUGCUUCCCAAAUCGAUCUAUAGAUUCCAUGCAAUCCCAACCAAAAUUCCAGCAAGUUAUUUCAUGGUUAUUGACAACCGGAUUCUAAAGAUUAUAUAGAGAAGCAAAAGACUCAACACAGAGUCUAUUGAAGAAGAACGAAUUUGGAGAACUAACACUGCCUGACUUCAAGACUUACAGUAAAACUAGAGUAAUGAAGACAGUGUGGUAUUGGUGAAAUAAUCAACAAAUCAAUCAAUGGAAGAGAAUAGAGAGCUCAGAAAUAGACCCACAUAAAAACCAUCAACUGAAGUAAAGGCAGCACGAUGGAGCAAAAGUAUUCUUUUACAUAAAUGGUAGUUACAACACCUGGAAAUUCAUAUGCAAACAGAGAAACCUAGACAGAGAUCUUAUAUCCCUCACAAAAAUUAACUCAAAAGGGAUGACAGAUCUAAAUGUAAAAUGCAAAAAUGUAGAACUUCUAGAAGAUAACACAGGAAGGAACCUCGGUGACUUGCAGUCUGAGGCUGGUGUUCAGGUGCAACGCCAAAGACAUGAGCCAUGAAGGAAAUAAUUGACAGGCGGGACUGCACUAAAAUGAAAACAUCUGCUUUAUGAACGACAACGUAAAGAUUAUGAGAAGACAAGCUGCAGACUGUGAGGAAAUAGUCACAAAACACAUAUCUGAUAAAGGACUUUUUCCAAGAUCUACAAAGAACACUUAAAUCUCAACAUUAAUAAAACAAACAACCUAAUUUUAAAAUAGGUGAAAGAACUGAACAGAGAACUCGCCAGGGAAGAUAUUCAGAUUGAAAAUUAGCACAUGAAAACAUGUUAAUAUCAUGUCAUUAGGAAAAUGCAAAUUAAAGCAACAAGGAGAUGAUAAGUGUGUCACUACACAUCGAUUAGAAUGGCCAGGAGUUCCCAUUGUGGCUCAGGGAAAACGAACCCAACUAGUAUCCACGAGGAUGCGGGUUUGAUCCCUGGCCUUGCUCAGUGGAGUAGAGGUUCAAUAAAUUGUUGAACAAAUCAAUCAAUGUAGCAUUGGAAAUUAAUUGUUUUAGAGCUUGGCUGUCUCAUCCAGCCUCACCCACUGGGGAAUAUGUGAGCCCUCCAGAAUAACUUUUUGUCCAUUAGCUUUCCCAUCACUCCUCUACGGAGGAGGAUUUUUGCUUUGAAUGAGUUCGCGGUAAGUCUGUUCAAACCACAAAGCAGACCUGGAAUGAAGACAAGCCUUCCUUUCCCAUUGCAAAAACCGAAAACAAAACUAAAAACCUGGGGAAGGCUACUGCUGUGCUUCCUAACUUGUUCUAAAAUAUAAAUCAGUAACUCAGUUUCACGCCUUCUCAGUGCAGUAUUUAGCAUGACACAAACUAUCAUAAACUCAAUGGAAAGACCUGGAAGAGAGCCUGGCAUAUAGUAAGUGCCCAAUAAAUACUUGGUGAAGGAGUGAGUGGUGUUGCGGAUUUAGACAGCUUGAUUUAUGAUCUGUCUUCCAAACUCAUAGCAAAUUUCCCUGUCCUCUCUCUGGUUUGAAAAUGUAAAUCACUGGUGGAUAGAAGGAAUGAAAUGGUCGGGAAUUGGCUGUGAUGGAGCAGGUGGUUGCUCACAGUUAAUGUUAUUCAGCAAAUAAACUCUCGAGUGACUGCCACCUGCUUGAUCAGUUUCCAGAAUUGAAAAGAAGGACACAGAGCAGAAGCAACUAAUUUUGGACUCAGAAGCUUUAGAUUCCAAGGGUAGAUCAUGAGCCGGACUCCUGACCUGGGCUGGUGGUGCUUCACUGACAGUGAAUUAGCCUCUCCCAAUUCCGCCCUCACAUCCAGCCUCCCUGCCUGCUUCUCCUCAGCAAGCUCACUCCUUUCCUUUGCCCCCUUCAGAACAACAGUGAAAAAACAUUAUCUUGACAGCCUAGAGAAAAAAUGGAAACCACUUCAAUGAUGAAGCAUUUAACAUUUUAAUUACUGAUAAUUAUGAUACUGCAGAACAUAGAAGAUGGCAUUAUUUAAAUGUAGAAGACAAGGUUAAAUUAUGCUAAUGUGUUCUAGCUUGUCUAUAAUAAUUUUUUGACAGAGUAUAAAGAUUAGAAUCAGCCGCUGACUUGAGUGAGUUGCUGGAUUGUCUCUUGGCCUUGUGACUAGAAGUGAUGACAUUCCAGGGCUGAAGGGUAGGAGGCAGGGUGAGGAAAUCGCGGGCCGUGCGGCGAGAUGACCUCAGAAAAGUCAACUUUGAGCAUGAACAAAUCAGACAGUGUUUUCUGUUUGAAGUGUCUGAAUUGUGCAACAACUUUCCCUUUUAAUCUCGUACUUCCAAACUUCAAUAUUUACACUUAAAUGACAUGUAGGCGUCCCAAUAUGUCCUGAUUCACCGAUGGUGAUUCUUUUUACCGCUAGCUAAAAAUUUCUUGCUGUUUAAAAGUCCCAUGGGUUUUAAGUUUAGAAAUACCUGGAUCAAACCUAUGUUUCUGCUAUUUAAGAGCCUUGGGAUCCUAGAAAGUUAUUUAAUCUCCUAGUGACUGAAAUCCUUCCUAAUAGGAUUGUUGAGAAGACAGAGAGGGUGCCUGGCACAUGAGAGGUGUUUGGAAAUCAUAGCCAUCUUCUCCUAUGACAAAUCAUGUUCAGCAAAAUUUAAUUUUUGAUAGUUAUUCAAUCUUCAAAAAGUUUGAGUCCUUCCCUGGAGGAUGACAGAUUUGGUCAAAUCAAAAGAGAAAAAUUGCUUGCAAAAAAAAAAAAAAAUCAAUCUCAAAAUAUCAGGCAGCAUGACCAAAUUAUUAACGAGCUUUUUGAUUGGGGUGAUAUGGGUUUGAGAAGUUCUUGCCUUGGGCAAAAUGACGUAAUUAUUAUAUCAUUCAUAUGUACAAGCAUUAAGAAUACACUUUCCUUGCAACCUAUGUUUAUCGCAUCCUCGGUCUUCUUGUCUGGAUCUUCCAAGGGCUUAUUCAUCUUAUUUAGCAAAAUACCUCUGAUCCUGAUGUUGCACAAGUGACUCCACCUGAGUCCUCACCUCAGAACAAAGAAUGUACCGUUCAUUGUGUUUGCAGAUAGCAACCUGGCUCGAGGACCCUUCUUAGCAGGUCACCAUCACAAAGGGCUUGGUGCCAGCUUCAUAUUUCUUGGGUGGAAUUUUUCAGCAGCUUUUUGUCUUGAUUUUUUCAGGGCCAUCUCUUGUCUUUUAUUUCUUGAAAAAAGUUGAUUUUCAUUUCAUUCUCACCCACUGAAUUUUUUGAACCAUUGCGUUCACUUGGUGUAAACUACUUAUCUUAAAUCUAUUGAAUCACGGAGGUGCUUACUGCAUUAUUUAGACAUUUCUUUAAAUUCGCCCCUCCGUGGAUGCUCUCAAAACAAUGAAGUAUCUGGGCUGGUCUGUCAGACUCAUGGCAAUGUGAGAGCCAUGUAUGAGGAAAGAAAUCUAUGGACACCUGGGCCAAUCAUGUUUUUAUGCUGCAACGUGGCUCGUUAUGAAGAGAAAGUCCCACCAUCCCUGCUCUCGGCUGUUCAUGUCACUGCCACAGGUGCACAGUGAUGCAUCAAGAAGGUGUCCCCCGUGUGCUGAGUCACAUGCACGUGCCUGUAACAAACUAAAACCCCCCUUGGGUUCUGCCCUAACACUGAUUAGCGUUGACGGUACACUAUGCGUUACUUGCUCUGGUUUGUACUGGUUUGCUUGUCCCCCCAGGCUAAGAGGGCUGGAGAGCAGGCUUGGUCUCCUGUGUUUAAGCUGCACCCCUCAAAUCCCACAAGUUUAUGGAGCAGGGCUCAGUGCAUGCCUGUGGGUGACUGAGUCAUCUAACCAGAAGCAGAAGCUUCUCAAGUUUCUGACAUUUUAGGAAGGGGGAGGGGCCAGAUGGAGAACACAGCUCUCUUGAUGGGACUGAGUGAAGCAGCAUCCGGGAGGAUGGCUGAACAGCCUUCUUCACUCUCCUGUUCUGCUCACAUUCCCACAGCUCCACACACCCCGAGCCUGACCACUGGGGAGGCCUGGCUGGUUUGUGGCUGACUUAGGGCAACUCUGGUUGCCAGUCAUCAUCUCAGGACUAUCAGGGCAGGUAGCAGGACCAUGUCCCUGUGUCCAUCUGCCCCAACAGUGUGGCUGCUAGUGAUGGAGAAGGCACCUAGCACAGGCCCUGAGGGCCAGCAGGUGUCAAGCCCCUUCUUGUUCACCUGAAGGCAGGUUGAGCCUUUGGAGUCACUGGCUUGAGGUGGCUCCACCAGGAGGUGGGAGACCUGUGACACCACCCCCGGGGGAACUACCAUCAGUGUGGGAACUGAUGAGGAUGGCCAGUGAGGAGAUGGAUCUAUGGUAAGCGAGUGGCCCUUUCUCCUUUCUCAGAGUGCCAUGGUUCUUAGUGACACAAGGAGGAUGAGUGACGUGAGGGCGCAAGCCACUGCAGCAGCCAUAGCAGUGGGCCUCAAGCUGUGUGGUCCCCAAACCCCAAUUUAGGUCAACUGAGAAGAGUCCAGUGGCACUGCAGUUCCCUGACAUUUGAGGAAGGAAAACCCGAGGCCAGGGACUUUGGAGCCCACCCCACUCCAUGCAGUCUAAAGAGUCCAGCUGGCUCCUCAGGCCAUUGGGGUGGCCACAGAGUCAGA